ACACGUGAAAAGGAGGUGGUCCAAACAGUGAGCGUUAAUUGGACUCGUGAGGUGGUCGCGCGCUAGUCGGCGCGCAACCGAUUCGUACAACGGACGGUCGUGAAGCGCCUCGAUUCCGCCCGGAGGCUUUGCCUCUUGGCGGGGGCGAAUACCACGCGGCCACCGGAGCUCCUGGGUGUCGUACCUAGUCCACUACGACAUGGAUCGCCUUCUUAGCGAGGUGGUCUGCCCCGGGAGCUUCUUGCUG
rnacentral:sRNA from 1 species